GUGGUUUCGGUACGGCGAAAGCACUUCCGACGAAAAUGGGAUCGGAGAUCGGAGAUGUUAUAUGCUCUCAAAUUUCUCAGUAACCUCUGCCGCUCUGAUCUUGGCUACUAGUAAUUCUAAGUCGGGGGUUUGAUGGAGAGAAAGCCCGGUUCAUCCAGAGCCGACCGCAAAACGACAGAGAGAAACAGGAGAAAUCGAAUGAAGGCACUCCUAUCCAAGCUCCACUCGCUUGUUCCUCCACAGUGUCCUAGGGAAUCAACAUUGUCGAUGCCUGAUCAAUUAGGCAAAGCGGCCAAUUACAUAAAGAAUUUACAAGUGAAGGUGCAGAAAAUGAGGGAGCAGAAAGAGAGGUUAUUAGAAAUAGAAAAGAUCAACACAACAAUGAACAAUGGACUAACGAUCGGAUUCAAGUCGCCAGAGAUCGGAAUACGGAAAAGCGGGUCGAUCCUAGAGGUUGUUCUUGUUACUGGAUUGGAUGGACAGUUCAUGUUCAAUGAGACUGUUCAGUGAUUCAUGAAGAAGGAGCAGAUGUCAUGAAUGCCAAUUUCUCUUAUGUUGGUGAUGCAAUGCUUCACACCGUUCAUGCCAAGGUUGGAGAUGGAGAUUCUACAGAUGAGAGAAUAUCUCAAAGGCUACAAGAGAUGGUGAAUGAUAUGCUAAUGGAGCUUCAUCCUUGAUCUAGUGCCUUGGAAUUUGCAGAAUUAUAUGAAUCCUUAAGAGAAUUGUAGAAAUGCGGUUUUCACUUAGUUGAUACAUGGAAAAUGUAUUGUCACCAAGCCAUGUAGAAAUAUGACCAAGUGCAUCUUAAUAGUGAUAUAAAGUACAAAUUGCAUAAAGAACGGAUGUGCUGCACUGUUGGAUCUUUUGAUAAGGUAAGCUGCACUGUUUCUGCAGUUUACGUGCUGAAUGCAAGCAGCAACCUUCUUUCA